AAAAAAGGUAAGCUACUAAGAGCGAAUGGUGGAUGCCUUGACUGGUAAAGGCGAUGAAGGACGUACUAGACUGCGAUAAGCUACGGGGAGCUGUCAAGAAGCUUUGAUCCGUAGAUUUCCGAAUGGGGCAACCCAGUAUAUAGAGAUAUAUACUACCAUAAUGGAGCGAACGAGGGGAAUUGAAACAUCUUAGUACCCUCAGGAAAAGAAAUCAAUAGAGAUUACGUCAGUAGCGGCGAGCGAAAGCGUAAGAGGGCAAACCCAGUGCUUGCACUGGGGGUUGUAGGACUGCAAUGUGCAAUAAGUAAGGUUAGUAGAACACUCUGGAAAGUGUAGCCAUAGAGGGUGAUAGUCCCGUAUACGAAAACCAAACUUUAGCUAGCAGUAUCCUGAGUAGGGCGAAACACGUGGAAUUUUGUCUGAAGCUGGGUCGACCACGAUCCAACCCUAAAUACUAAUACCAGAUCGAUAGUGCACAAGUACCGUGAGGGAAAGGUGAAAAGAACUGAGGUGAUCAGAGUGAAAUAGAACCUGAAACCAUUUGCUUACAAUCAUUCAGAGCACUAUGUAGCAAUACAGUGUGAUGGACUGCCUUUUGCAUAAUGAGCCUGCGAGUUGUGGUGUCUGGCAAGGUUAAGCACACGCGAAGCCGUAGCGAAAGCGAGUCUGAAUAGGGCGAUUAAGUCAGAUGCUGCAGACCCGAAACGAAGUGAUCUAUCCAUGAGCAAGUUGAAGCUAGUGUAAGAACUAGUGGAGGACUGAACCCGCUAGCGUUGAAAAGCUAUGGGAUGACUUGUGGAUAGGGGUGAAAGGCCAAUCAAACUUCGUGAUAGCUGGUUCUCUCCGAAAUAUAUUUAGGUAUAGCGUUGUGUCGUAGUAUAAGGGGGUAGAGCACUGAAUGGGCUAGGGCAUACACCAAUGUACCAAACCCUAUCAAACUCCGAAUACCUUAUAUGUAAUCACAGCAGUCAGGCGGCGAGUGAUAAAAUCCGUCGUCAAGAGGGAAACAACCCAGACUAUCAGCUAAGGUCCCCAAGUCUUACUUAAGUGGAAAACGAUGUGAAGUUACUUAAACAACCAGGAGGUUGGCUUAGAAGCAGCCAUCCUUUAAAGAAAGCGUAAUAGCUCACUGGUCUAGUGAUUUUGCGCGGAAAAUAUAACGGGGCUAAAGUAAGCACCGAAGCUAUAGACUUAGUUUACUAAGUGGUAGGAGAGCGUUCUAUUUGCGUCGAAGGUAUACCGGUAAGGAGUGCUGGAGCGAAUAGAAGUGAGCAUGCAGGCAUGAGUAGCGAUAAUUAAUGUGAGAAUCAUUAACGCCGUAAACCCAAGGUUUCCUACGCGAUGCUCGUCAUCGUAGGGUUAGUCGGGUCCUAAGCCGAGUCCGAAAGGGGUAGGUGAUGGCAAAUUGGUUAAUAUUCCAAUACCAACAUUAGUGUGCGAUGGAAGGACGCUUAGGGCUAAGCAAGCUAGCGGAUGGAAGUGCUAGUCUAAGGAUGUAGGAGCUUAUAUAGGCAAAUCCGUAUAAGAAUACUCCGAGAUCUUAAAGGCUUUUUGAAGUCUUCGGAUGGAUAGAAGAAUUGCUGAUGCCGUCGAGCCAAGAAAAGUUUCUAAGUUUAGCUAAUGUUGCCCGUACCGUAAACCGACACAGGUGGGUGGGAUGAGUAUUCUAAGGCGCGUGGAAGAACUCUCUUUAAGGAACUCUGCAAAAUAGCACCGUAUCUUCGGUAUAAGGUGUGGUUCACUUUGUAUUAGGAUUUACUCCGAAAGCAAAGAAACUUACAACAAAGAGUCCCUCCCGACUGUUUACCAAAAACACAGCACUCUGCUAACUCGUAAGAGGAUGUAUAGGGUGUGACGCCUGCCCGGUGCUCGAAGGUUAAUUGAUGGGGUUAGCAUUAGCGAAGCUCUUGAUCGAAGCCCGAGUAAACGGCGGCCGUAACUAUAACGGUCCUAAGGUAGCGAAAUUCCUUGUCGGUUAAAUACCGACCUGCAUGAAUGGCGUAACGAGAUGGGAGCUGUCUCAAAGAGGGAUCCAGUGAAAUUGUAGUGGAGGUGAAAAUUCCUCCUACCCGCGGCAAGACGGAAAGACCCCGUGGACCUUUACUACAGCUUGACACUGCUAUUUGGAUAAGAAUGUGCAGGAUAGGUGGGAGGCUUUGAGUAAUAGACGCUAGUUUAUUAUGAGCCAUUGUUGAGAUACCACUCUUUCUUAUUUGGGUAGCUAACUAGCUUGAGUUAUCCUCAAGUAGGACAAUGUCUGGUGGGUAGUUUGACUGGGGCGGUCGCCUCCCAAAUAAUAACGGAGGCUUACAAAGGUUGGCUCAGAACGGUUGGAAAUCGUUCGUAGAGUAUAAAGGUAUAAGCCAGCUUAACUGCAAGACAUACAAGUCAAGCAGGGACGAAAGUCGGUCUUAGUGAUCCGGUGGUUCUGUGUGGAAGGGCCAUCGCUCAAAGGAUAAAAGGUACCCCGGGGAUAACAGGCUGAUCUCCCCCAAGAGCUCACAUCGACGGGGAGGUUUGGCACCUCGAUGUCGGCUCAUCGCAUCCUGGGGCUGGAGCAGGUCCCAAGGGUAUGGCUGUUCGCCAUUUAAAGCGGUACGCGAGCUGGGUUCAGAACGUCGUGAGACAGUUCGGUCCCUAUCUGCCGUGGGCGUAAGAAGAUUGAAGAGAUUUGACCCUAGUACGAGAGGACCGGGUUGAACAAACCACUGGUGUAGCUGUUGUUCUGCCAAGAGCAUCGCAGCGUAGCUAAGUUUGGAACGGAUAAACGCUGAAAGCAUCUAAGCGUGAAGCCAACUCUAAGAUGAAUCUUCUCUAAGCUCUCUAGAAGACUACUAGUUUGAUAGGCUGGGUGUGUAAUGGAUGAAAGUCCUUUAGCUGACCAGUACUAAUAGAGCGUUUGGCUUAUCUUUUUUAUAAGCAU
rnacentral:rRNA from 1 species